ACCUGGCUAGCUCAGUGGGUGGAGCAUGUGACUCUUGAUCUCAGGGUUGUGAGUUCGAGCCCCACGCUAGGUG
rnacentral:tRNA from 1 species